UACGGAGGGGGCAAGCGUUGUUCGGAUUUACUGGGCGUAAAGGGUCCGUAGGCGGUUGUGUAAGUCUGGUGUGAAAUCUUCGCCGCUUAACGGGAAGCGGCCACUGGAAACUGCAUAACUUGAGUCUGGUAGAGGCAAGCGGAAUUCCUGGUGUAGCGGUGGAAUGUGUAGAUAUCAGGAAGAACAUCUGUGGCGAAGGCGGCUUGCUGGGCCAGUACUGACGCUGAGGGACGAAAGCGUGGGGAGCAAACGGG
rnacentral:rRNA from 1 species